rnacentral:rRNA from 1 species
CCUACGGGAGGCAGCAGUGGGGAAUAUUGGACAAUGGGCGAAAGCCUGAUCCAGCCAUGCCGCGUGUGUGAAGAAGGCCUUCGGGUUGUAAAGCACUUUCAGUGGGGAAGAAAGCCUUGGGGCUAAUACCCUCGAGGAAGGACAUCACCCACAGAAGAAGCACCGGCUAACUCCGUGCCAGCAGCCGCGGUAAUACGGAGGGUGCGAGCGUUAAUCGGAAUUACUGGGCGUAAAGCGCGCGUAGGCGGUCUGAUAAGCCGGUUGUGAAAGCCCCGGGCUCAACCUGGGAACGGCAUCCGGAACUGUCAGGCUAGAGUGCAGGAGAGGAAGGAAGAAUUCCCGGUGUAGCGGUGAAAUGCGUAGAGAUCGGGAGGAAUACCAGUGGCGAAGGCGGCCUUCUGGACUGACACUGACGCUGAGGUGCGAAAGCGUGGGUAGCAAACAGGAUUAGAUACCCGGGUAGUC